UACAGAGGUCUCAAGCGUUGUUCGGAUUCAUUGGGCGUAAAGGGUGCGUAGGCGGCGCGGUAAGUCGGGUGUGAAAUCUCGGAGCUUAACUCCGAAACUGCAUUCGAUACUGCCGUGCUUGAGGACUGGAGAGGAGACUGGAAUUUACGGUGUAGCGGUGAAUGCGUAGAUAUCGUAAGGAAGACCAGUGGCGAAGGCGGGUCUCUGGACAGUUCCUGACGCUGAGGCACGAAGGCCAGGGGAGCAAACGGG
rnacentral:rRNA from 1 species